UACGGAGGGUGCAAGCGUUAAUCGGAAUUACUGGGCGUAAAGCGCGCGUAGGCGGUUUUUUAAGUCGAAUGUGAAAGCCCCGGGCUCAACCUGGGAACUGCAUUUGAAACUGGUAAACUAGAGUAUUGGAGAGGUAAGCGGAAUUUCUGGUGUAGCGGUGAAAUGCGUAGAUAUCAGAAGGAACACCAAUGGCGAAGGCAGCUUACUGGACAAUAACUGACGCUGAGGCACGAAAGCGUGGGUAGCGAAAGGG
rnacentral:rRNA from 1 species